rnacentral:rRNA from 1 species
AACGCGAAGAACCUUACCAGCCCUUGACAUCCCAUGGCGGUUUCCAGAGAUGGACUCUCCCCUCAAGGGGCGGGGACACAGGUGCUGCAUGGUUGUCGUCAGCUCGUGUCGUGAGAUGUUGGGUUAAGUCCCGCAACGAGCGCAACCCUCGCCCUUAGUUGCCACCAUUAGUUGGGCACUCUAAGGGGACUGCCGGUGAUAAGCCGGAAGAAGGGGGGGAGGAGUCAAUUCCUCGGCCCUUUAGGGGGGGCUCCCCCGUGCUACAAGGGCGGUAAAAGGGGACGCAAAGGGGUGAGCGGACCAAUUCUCAAAAACCCUUCUCAGUUCGGAUUGGGGCUGCAACUCGCCCCCAGAAGUCGGAAUCGCUAGUAAUCGCACAUCAACACCCUGCGGUGAAUACUUUCCCGGUUU